AGAGUUUGAUCCUGGCUCAGAUUGAACGCUGGCGGCAUGCCUUACACAUGCAAGUCGAACGGCAGCACGGGAGCAAUCCUGGUGGCGGGUGGCGAACGGGUGAGUAAUAUAUCGGAACGUGCCCAGUCGUGGGGGAUAACGCAGCGAAAGCUGUGCUAAUACCGCAUACGAUCUAUGGAUGAAAGCGGGGGAUCGCAAGACCUCGCGCGAUCGGAGCGGCCGAUAUCAGAUUAGCUAGUUGGUGGGGUAAAAGCCCACCAAGGCGACGAUCUGUAGCUGGUCUGAGAGGACGACCAGCCACACUGGAACUGAGACACGGUCCAGACUCCUACGGGAGGCAGCAGUGGGGAAUUUUGGACAAUGGGCGCAAGCCUGAUCCAGCAAUACCGCGUGCAGGAUGAAGGCCUUCGGGUUGUAAACUGCUUUUGUACGGAACGAAACGGUUCGCUUUAAUACAGUGGGCUAAUGACGGUACCGUAAGAAUAAGCACCGGCUAACUACGUGCCAGCAGCCGCGGUAAUACGUAGGGUGCGAGCGUUAAUCGGAAUUACUGGGCGUAAAGCGUGCGCAGGCGGUUUUGUAAGACAGAUGUGA
rnacentral:rRNA from 1 species